rnacentral:tRNA from 1 species
GCACCAAUAGUGUAACGCUAUCAUUGUACCCUUCCGAGGUACAGACGCGAGUUCAACUCUAGGUUGGUGCA